CGAAGGGGCUAGCGUUGCUCGGAAUUACUGGGCGUAAAGGGAGCGUAGGCGGACAUUUAAGUCAGGGGUGGAAAUCCCGGGGCGUCAACCUCGGAAUUGCCUUUGAUACUGGGUGUCUUGAGUAUGAGAGAGGUGUGUGGAACUCCGAGUGUAGAGGUGAAAUUCGUAGAUAUUCGGAAGAACACCAGUGGCGAAGGCGACACACUGGCUCAUUACUGACGCUGAGGCUCGAAAAGCGUGGGGAGCAAACAGGAUU
rnacentral:rRNA from 1 species